rnacentral:rRNA from 2 species
UCUGGUAUUGAUUGGUGCUUGCAUCAUGAUUUACAUUUGAGUGAGUGGCGAACUGGUGAGUAACACGUGGGAAACCUGCCCAGAAGCGGGGGAUAACACCUGGAAACAGAUGCUAAUACCGCAUAACAACUUGGACCGCAUGGUCCGAGCUUGAAAGAUGGCUUCGGCUAUCACUUUUGGAUGGUCCCGCGGCGUAUUAGCUAGAUGGUGGGGUAACGGCUCACCAUGGCAAUGAUACGUAGCCGACCUGAGAGGGUAAUCGGCCACAUUGGGACUGAGACACGGCCCAAACUCCUACGGGAGGCAGCAGUAGGGAAUCUUCCACAAUGGACGAAAGUCUGAUGGAGCAACGCCGCGUGAGUGAAGAAGGGUUUCGGCUCGUAAAACUCUGUUGUUAAAGAAGAACAUAUCUGAGAGUAACUGUUCAGGUAUUGACGGUAUUUAACCAGAAAGCCACGGCUAACUACGUGCCAGCAGCCGCGGUAAUACGUAGGUGGCAAGCGUUGUCCGGAUUUAUUGGGCGUAAAGCGAGCGCAGGCGGUUUUUUAAGUCUGAUGUGAAAGCCUUCGGCUCAACCGAAGAAGUGCAUCGGAAACUGGGAAACUUGAGUGCAGAAGAGGACAGUGGAACUCCAUGUGUAGCGGUG